UAUAAUUUUAACUUGAUCGUGUCUGGUUGAGCUUAAAUCAGGUAGAUAAUCAGAAUUGUUUUGAAUCUCAAGCCGUACACUUUCAGCAGGAGACGACACCAGUUGCGAACUGUAAAUCUGAACACAGAUAUAAUCUUUCCAAUUAACUACAUACCUGCAGUACUCUCACGAUACACUUCACCACUCCUGCUCUGGCAAAGUUGCGUACUCCGUUCAGGUGCCUGUAAUAAAGAUGAAAAGCCAAAUAAUUAUUUGCGUUUUCAUCUUGUUUGUGAUCUCUGUGAUGGAUACAGUUGACAGCUCUUCAAUAACACAAGAAUUGAACGAAGGGGAAAGUUGGCUGUCAAAACGUGGCAGAGUAUGCCGAGAUCUUAGUCCCAAAAGAUGUAAAGGGAAGCGAUUGAAGUGUCUUCACAAAAAUUCGAAGUACUCUCGUAUAAUUCGAAUGACAUGCCCCAAAACCUGUGGACGUUGUUCCUAAGAAACAGCCCAAGACUGCAAGAUUUUGAAAGAAGAAAGGGCGACCUGAAUGCUGCAUAUUUCUAAUCUAUAACCUCACGAAAGAAUUUGUUGUGUAAAAUUCCCACCUACUAUACUUUUAAUUUCAAAAUUAUUGAGUCAGGUACCGUCACAGAUUAUGCCACACGCAAUUUAUUAAAAUGCAUAUUAAACCAAA